rnacentral:lncRNA from 1 species
AACAAGGGGGUCCAAGGGCUGAGCUGACUAGCUCAGAACUGGCCUUAUUUGAGGAUGCCGAGGCAGAGCACUCUACUGCCGUUCCAGCGGCUGAGGAUCAGACGGAGCAGUCUGCAUCAAAGCCUGUGGAUCAGGCAUAACUGUCUGUUGUAGUUCAGGAGGCUGAAGUGGAGACAACCGCCGCUGCCCCUGUGGUUGUGGUAACUUUCUUU